AUUGAACGCUGGCGGCAGGCUUAACACAUGCAAGUCGAACGAGUGGCGGACGGGUGAGUAAUGCUCGGGAAUCUAGCUUAUGGAGGGGGAUAACUACGGGAAACUGUAGCUAAUACCGCGUACCAUAGGAUGCGCCCAAGUGGGAUUAGCUAGUUGGUGGGGUAAAGGCCUACCAAGGCGACGAUCCGUAACUGGUCUGAGAGGAUGAUCAGGAACAAGGGAAGUGAGAAACGGCCCAGACUCCUACGGGAGGCAGCAGUGGGGAAUUUUGGACAAUGGGGGAAACCCUGAUCCAGCCAUCCCGCGGGUGCGAGGAAGGCCUUCGGGUUGUAAAGCACUUUUGGCAGGAAAGCGGUACCUGCAGAAUAAGCAACGGCUAACUACGGGCCAGCAGCCGCGGUAAUAC
rnacentral:rRNA from 1 species